rnacentral:rRNA from 1 species
CCUACGGGUGGCAGCAGUAGGGAAUCUUUCACAAUGGGCGAAAGCCUGAUGGAGCAACGCCGCGUGCAGGAUGAAGGCCUUCGGGUUGUAAACUGCUUUUAUAAGCGAGAAAUGUGAGGGUAACUUAUGAAUAAGGAUCGGCUAACUACGUGCCAGCAGCCGCGGUCAUACGUAGGAUCCGAGCAUUAUCCGGAGUGACUGGGUGUAAAGAGUUGCGUAGGUGGCAUAAUAAGUAGCUAGUGAAAUCUGGUGGCUCAACCAUUCAGACUAUUAGCUAAACUGUUCAGCUCGAGACCGUUAGGGGUAACUGGAAUUUCUAGUGUAGGAGUGAAAUCCGUAGAUAUUAGAAGGAACACCAAUAGCGUAGGCAGGUUGCUGGGACGGUUCUGACACUAAGGCACGAAAGCGUAGGGAGCAAACGGGAUUAGAUACCCCAGUAGUC